CAUUGACAAAAAUUAAGUAGAAUGAUUUAUACGUCUUAAAAGGAAAAAACAAAGCAAAUCUACUGUAACUCUACAAAAUGACACGGAGACCACAAGACUUAGUAGGGAAGCACUUCCAUUCUAAACUGGCUGAUUUAUAAGGAUUGCUUUAACGUCUGAUUGAAAUUUUGGACCACUUUUAGUAAGUAAUACAAUGCUUCCCUUAAAAUAUAUAUACAUAUAUUUUUUUUCCAAACCUUCAUCUCAUAACUUCUAAAUCCAGGACUUACUGUUGUUGUUUUAAACCUUCUCUUUACUUCCAGGCCUCUACUUUCUUUUGUAUUCCUUAAUAUCUGUGAAUCACUUUGUCCUAUUUUCUGUUGUGAAAUUUUAGGCUGUUGGACUCAAUCUUGAUAAAGUGUCCUUCACUCCAACAUUUUCAUCUUUGUGGUUUGGGAAAUCUCACCACCCUUUUCAUCCAAUCUCAAACACUGGGUAGAUGGCCCAAAAGUAAUUUUACGACAUCUUAUGAAAUGCACAUGAGGAUUGCAUCGACUCAGAUCGGUUUUGCAAUCCUUGGGAAGACUGAAACUUUUCAUUUCACAGGUGACCCAUUUUCACCAGCCUUUUUUCACCUUUCAAGCCAGGGGAUUCUUUCACUCUCUUCUCCCUCGGCCUUGGCCGUUUCCCUCGUUAGGAUGGAACGAUACAAGGAGAGGCUGAGAUCUAUUUCCAUAUUUUGUCCAAAACCACAGCAUUUGGAUUGUGAGUGAAUGUUUGUGAUUAAAAAUGUCCAUCUGUUUCUUUAGGAUUAUUGGCAUUCUCAUUUCCUUAUAGUCUGUGCCAACAAUGGGAGGAAUCAAGACAAUUCAGCAUUUUAGAAUUCUGCUCUUGGACACUGCUGCCUAUGAGGAGUCUGAAAAACCAAAGAUAGGAGUAGUUGGGUGGAAAAAUAGCUAAGGCUGACUUUACAAGGGAGUAUUAGCCACUCUGUCUUAGUCUUUGGUGUGGUUUGGGGUCAAUUGGUUAUUAUUGUUGUUAUUAUUGCUAAUAAAGUCAUGGCUUCUAACCUGUCUAAAAUUAGGUAUCCAAUUUUUCUAUAAUUAAGUAUAUGCAUCCAUCUUUAUUCAUCUGAGCCAAAUAUUUUACACAUAGGGAGGCAGAAUCAUCAAGCUUUAUGAAGGAAUUGCUCAGCGCCGCAGGGAGGGGAGACCGAGGCUAUGCGAGGACCAAGGAUGGACUCUGCUGUUUUGACUGAAGUGACGAGUCCAGUAACUGAUUUGUAAAUCAACACUCAGAAGAAAAUAGCCCUGGACUUCUCUCCUCCUCCCGUCCCCGUAUGCCUGGCCCACCACCAGGCACUGUAUUCUUCGUCAAAGGUUUUCUGAAACUUUAUGGGGGCAGGAGGGCUAUUUGAGCAGACUACACAUUCUUCAACAGUCUCAAAUUUACAAGCUUGACCUUUUCUGAAAAUGAAGUAAUAAAUACAGUCACUGACAUAUGCUGACAGGAGUGAAAUAAGAAUUCUUUGUUUACCAGACAACUUUAAACUUGCAGCCUAUUAUUGGAC
ensembl:lncRNA